GGUUCUCCUCGAAAUAGUUUUAGGACUAGCCUCGAGAUUUAAGUUUUGGUGGUAGAGCACUGGAUGGGAUGGGGUGGCAUUGCGUCCAUACCCAUUCCAAUCAAACUCCGAAUGCCAUUAUGUAUAUCUUGGGAGUCAGACCAUGGGGGCUAAGCUUCAUUGGUCGAAAGGGAAACAGCCCAGAUCCACAUCUAAGGUCCCUAAAUCUAGAUUAAGUGUAGAAGGUGGUGUUAUAACUUAUACAACUAGGAGGUUGGCUUAGAAGCAGCCAUCCUUUAAAGAUAGCGUAACAGCUCACUAGUCAAGUUAUUUCGCGCCGAAAAUUUAACGGGGCUAAAUCUAGUACCGAAGAUUGGAGUGUGUAGAUUUAUCUACACGCGGUAGAGGAGCGUUCUAUACUGCGUUGAAGCGAUACCGUAAGGAGUCGUGGAGUGUAUAGAAGUGAGAAUGUUGGCAUGAGUAGCAAAAAUCAGGGCGAGAAUCCCUGACACCGUAAACCCAAGGUUUCCUGGGCAAUGUGAAUCAACCCAGGGUUAGGCAGACCUAAGGCGAGGCCGAAGGGCGUAGUCGAUGGAUGAGCAGGUUAAUAUUCCUGCCCUACUGCUAUUUUUCGAUGGGGUGACGUGGUUUGGAUAUCUAGGCGUUAUUUGGUUAUGAACGUCGGCUGUAAAGAUUUGUACUUCAGGAAAAUCCGGGUACACAAAAAGUUUGAUCAGUUGGAAGACUGCGGCUUCGGCCAAAGUCAAUCUAGAUUGAAGGGUCACCAAGAAAACCCUCUAGAGCUAAGAUAGUAGUAUCUGUACCGUAAACCGACACAGGUGGGUGAGGAGAGUAUCCUCAGGUGUACGAGAGAACCUUCCUUUAGGAACUCGGCAAAACAGCGGCCGUAACCUCGGGAUAAGGCCUGCCCAGCUUAUGCUGGGCCGCAGCGAAAGACUUCAAGCGACUGUUUACCAAAAACACAGGUCCCUGCUAAAGCGCAAGCUGAUGUAUAGGGGCUGAUGCCUGGCCAGUGUCCGAACGUUAAGGAGAGACCUUCACGGGUUGAACUGAAGCGCGGAUGAACGCCGGCCGUAACUAUAACGGUCCUAAGGUAGCGAAAUUCCUUGUCGGGUGAGUUCCGACCUGCACGAAUGGCAUAACGACUUGAAGACUGUCUCAAGGAAGGACUCGGUGAAAUUGCAAUACGAGUAAAGAUGCUCGUUACCCGUAGCUGGACGAAAAGACCCCGUGAAGCUUUACUAUAGUUUGGUAUUGAUUUAGAACUAUGUUUGUUCAGGAUAGGUGGUAGACUUUGAAUCCAAGACGUCAGUCUUGGUGGAGUCACCCUUGAGAUACCACCCUUGUAUAUUUUUAAAUCUAACUUAGCCCCGUUAUCCGGGGCAAGGACAGUAUCUGAUGGGUAGUUUAACUGGGGCGGUUGCCUCCCAAAAUGGAACGGAGGCGUUUACAAAGGUUGGCUAGCUCCUGAUGGAAACAGGAGUCGUCGUGCAAACGCAUAAGCCAGCUUUACUGCAAGAGCUACAACUCGAGCAGUUGCGAAAGCAGAAGUUAGUGAUCCGACCGUACGAAAUAGGACGGCGGAAGCUCAACGGAUAAAAGUUACUCCGGGGAUAACAGGCUGAUCAGGUCCAAGAGUCCAUAUCGACGACCUGGUUUGGCACCUCGAUGUCGGCUCAUCGCAUCCUGGGGGUGGAGAAGCUCCCAAGGGUUAGGCUGUUCGCCUAUUAAAGCGGUACGCGAGCUGGGUUCAGAACGUCGUGAGACAGUUCGGUCUCCUAUCCGCUAUGGGCGUUGAAUUUUGAAGAGACUCUUCUCUAGUACGCGAGGACCGAGAAGGACGAACCUCUAGUGUACCAGUUGUGUCACCAGAUGCAUCGCUGGGUAGCUACGUUCGGUGCGGAUAAGCGCUGAAAGCAUAUAAGCGCGAAGCCGUCUCUAAGAUUAGAAUUCGUUAUAGAUCCCUAGCAGACUACUAGGUUGAUAGGCUCUAUGUGUAAUUGCAGCAAUGCAUUUAGCAGA
rnacentral:rRNA from 1 species